rnacentral:snoRNA from 1 species
AUCCCAUGAUGAGGGCAUUUCCUUUGGUACUCCUUAAAACGAUCCCAAGCUUCAAAAAGUGUCUCGUCUCGCCUUUGCUCAAAGGAUUGAAUUUUGUGGCG